GUCUAUGGCCAUGCCAACCUGAACAAGCCCGAUCCCUUCUGAUCUUGGAAGCUAAGCAGGGUCAGGCCUGUUUAGUACUCGGUUGAGAGAUCACCUAGGAAGACCAGGUGCUGUAGGCG
rnacentral:rRNA from 1 species